rnacentral:rRNA from 1 species
AUUGAACGCUGGCGGCAUGCUUUACACAUGCAAGUCGAACGGUAACAGGGUGCUUGCACCGCUGACGAGUGGCGAACGGGUGAGUAAUGCGUCGGAACGUGCCGAGUAGUGGGGGAUAACGCAGCGAAAGUUGUGAUAAUACCGCAUACGCACUGAGGUAGAACGUGGGGACCUUCGGGCCUCACGCUAUUCGAGCGGCCGACGUCUGAUUAGCUAGUAGGUGAGGUAAAGGUUCAACUAGGCGACGAUCAGUAGCGGGUCUGAGAGGAUGAGCCGCCACACUGGGACUGAGACACGGCCCUAACUCCUACGGGAGGCAGCAGUGAGGAAUUUUGGACAAUGGGCGAAAGCCUGAUCCAGCCAUGCCGCGUGUCUGAAGAAGUCCUUCGGGUUGUAAAGGACUUUUGUCGGGGAGGAAAUCCCCAGCGUUAAUACCGCUGGGGGAUGACAGUACCUGAAGAAUAAGCACCGGCUAACUACGUGCCAGCAGCCGCCGUAAUAC